AUGCACGGCCCAGGGAGAAGAGAACGGGACCGCCCUUGGAAGACUCCCAUCCUGAGACCCUGAGGGAGAGGAGAGGGCGGGAAAUGCCCCCCCACUUCCGCUUCCUUUUCCUUCCUGCCUGGUUGUGGCCUCGUUCCUGCCCCAGCGCCUGGUCCUGGGAUUGACCUCGGUCGCAGAGCCGAGGCCCAAUCCAUUCCUCUGUGCAUUUCGAUGGAAGAAAGUUUUAAGAAAGCGCCUUCCUUGAGCAAUGGAAAGGGCAUGGAAUUCGGAGUCAUGGCCUGGUCCCACACUCAAUAUCUUCAAAUAUCUCAGACCCAAGGUGAGAAAUGUUGCAAAACUACAAGUUACUGUAGGGAACCUGUCAGAGGAAUUCCAGAGGGAUCAGCUUCAGUCAAUAUCUACUUCCCUUGCCCUCCACUGACUUUGCUGCUACCAGCUGAUAAUUCCUUAUGUUGUACUUACCUGUUGUCAUUCUCACCUCUCAGCAAUUGGAGGACUUGCUGCUUUGCUAUUAGAGCUUAAAUCUGCACUAAGAUUUUUUGUACACCUUGUAUAAGAAGGAUGUUUAAAAUGUUAGUAGAACUUUGCUUUUGGCAGCAUAUGGCUUUCUAUUUUGUGCCUGCUUGAUAAUAGUAGAGGAUUGAUCACUUAGAGGUAAAUAUAGCUGCAGAUGUAAUUGUGUGAGACCCAAGAACAAAUGAACCCUGCUCCCAAAAGUGACCCUAAAACUUAAUUUUUUAUUUCUUAGCUGUAAGAUGAAGGGUUUGGCUAGAUAAUCUCUCAGAGCCCUAUCAUCUCCAAAUCCUAUGAUCUGUCAGCUUAUUUAGCUCAUUUGCUUCUCUUACCCCAUGGUAAGUCAAGUGUAUGUUUUACCUGAUCUCCUGGAUGAUGAACUUUCAUGGGCUUUAUAUCAAGGUGCAUGGCAAGCAGCUAUUUGCCUCUUUGUUGCCCAGCUCAGUCUUCCAAGAUGCACACAUACACAGGAGUGAAGAUCAUAGGGUUUAGAACUGCAGGUAUUUUAGACAGAAAAGAUGACAGAAAUAGCCAUAUGGGGGAGUGGAAAUGAAUACUGGAAUAAGAGGUAGAAGAUCUGAGUUUUAUCUCAGUUCUUUGAAAUUCAGUUUGUUAUUUUUAUAUGUUUUUUAUAUUCAGUUCAGUUCAAAGUGUGACAUUGGACAAAUGACUUCACCUCUCUGAGCUUCAGUUUCCUUAAAUGGAGGGUGAUCCCUAUAAAAUGGGCAUCCUAUCCAAUGUUUUGUGUUGAUCUGCAUUAUGCUCUUCCUUUGAGAAAUAACUUUACCUGAACAUAUUUGGAAUAUAUAUGCAUUUCUCAAAAUUGAUAGUUUUGUAUCUUUUGUGCAACAUAAGAUUGUUUCCUUUAUGCCAGUUCUACUUUUUUGUUCUCCAAGGGAAUUUAUAAACAGACUCAAAGUUUUGUAGCAACUUAAUUUUAAAAAAAUUUAUUGCAUUGACCAAAAAGUUUCACAUUUUUCCUGUGAGUACAUUAACUUCCAAAUUGUUAAAAAGUUUAUUUUGUUUUUUUUAAAGUUGCAAAUCUGUAUUCAAUUGUGUAUGAAAAUUGGUUACAAAUCAUACCCUUAAAAAUAAACUCAUUAAAAAUGUAAAAUAGCA
ensembl:lncRNA